AACUAGGAUUAGAUACCCUAUUAUUAAAAAUUUAAUUAUAAAUACUAAAAUAGUAAAUAAUUUUUUAUUGAAACUUAAAUAAUAUGGCGGUAUUUUAGUUCAUUUAGAGGAAUCUGUUUAAUAAUUGAUAAUCCACGAAUAAAUUUACUUAAUUUAUUAUUUUGUAUAUCAUUGUUAAAAAAAUAUUUUUUAAUAAAAAUAAUAUUUAAAAAUUUUUAAUAUAAAUUAAUUCAGAUCAAGAUGCAGAUUAUAAUUAAGUUAAAGAUGGAUUACAAUAAAUUUAUUUAAACGAAAAAAAUUUUGAAAAAUUUAAUUGAAGGUGGAUUUAAAUGUAAUUUUAUUUAAUUUAAUAAAAGUA
rnacentral:rRNA from 1 species